rnacentral:SRP_RNA from 1 species
ACUGGGCAUGGUGGUGCAUGCCUGUAAUCCUAGGUACUUGGGAGGCUGAGGCAGGAGAAUCACUUGAACCCAGGAAGUGGAGGUUGCAGUGAGCCAAGAUGGCGCCACUGCACUCCAGCCUGGGUGACAGAGUGAGACUCCGUCUCAG